UCUGUUUUCCAGGACCAAAGUUUUAUUCCACACUUUGCAACACAUAUUAAACCCAUGUUAUUGUCGGAUAGAAUACUGAGGGUCCCCAAGGAGAGGGCUUGUUAGUGAAGGAAGGAUUUUUAAUAUGGUUAGCAUCUAUUAGAUUAUACGUUUUUAAAUAGUAUUAUAUUUAACAGGAAUAUAGGACAUCUAUGAGGAGUUAGGAUUAUUGUUGGGAUUAAGAUAGAUUGAUUAAGGAAUUUGGAGAAAAGCCGCUCAUAGACAUUUUUUUUUCUAAAAGAGGGUCCAUGGGUUUGUAGUUCCCAUGUAGUUCAAAUUUGGAAAACAUGAGAAACAUACAGAGGAGCCCUCCCACGCACCGCAGAGACCUUGAAGGUGGGAGAGCAGAGAAGUUAGAGGGGGGUGCAGGAAGAGCAAAGAUAACAUAGUGGGUAAAUAAGUUUCUAAAUGGGUCAGAAUGGGAGCUGUAGAUAGAGGAGGUAUUUGGCAUAAAGGGAAUCUACCUGUUUUACCUAAGUCACUGUUUAAAUAUGCUGCUGUAUUGAUACAUGGGCAAAGCCAUGUAUCAACAGGGGGGAUGGUAGGAAUGGUUAAACAGCACUUUGUAGCAUAUGGAAUAACUAACUAUUUUAAAAACUUUUGCUCACGGUGUACUAUAUUGAAUUAACUAAGAGUGAAAACAAGAAGUGGUGUUUAACAAUAAUUGAUAAAUAUACCAUUUACAUUUACAUUUACAUUUAAGUCAUUUAGCAGACGCUCUUAUCCAGAGCGACUUACAAAUCAAAUGGGUAGAAGUGUUUCCUACAUCCUCAGCAGACGCAGAAACAGUGGCUAGAGCAUUAUGUCAGGAGAUAAUUCCGCGAUUUGGAUUACCAGAAGUAAUUGAGCAUAUAGGUCAGAAAUUGGAUAUAAAUAUGAAGAAACAUAGUUCUUAUCACCCCCAAAGCGCUGGCCUUAUCGAGAACAUGAAUCGAUCGGUAAAAGGUCGAUUAAGGAAAACACACCUAAGUACUGGAAUGAACGGGAUAAAAUGCCUGCCCAUAGUGUUAAUGACUAUUAGAAUAACCCCUGAUAGGGAGGGGCUAUCUCCAUUUGAGAAGGUUUUUGGUAGACCCUAUAGAAUGCCCCAAUUAGGGCGAUUAGAAAUAGAAAGCAGUAUGGUGGGACACAUGAGGAGGUUGUUCAUUAAUCAAACACGUAUGUCAAAAGUUUUAUGCCCAGCAGGAGAAUUAGAGGGAGGUGGCACACGACAUUCAACCAGGAGACUGGAUCUGGAUCCAAUCAUUGAAGAAAAAAAACUGGAAGCAGCCUCGGUGGGAGGGACCAUUCCAAGUACUACUGGUGACUGCCUUCGCGGUUCCAUUUAAAUCAAGACUUCCUCCCUUUACCGUGACGAGAGGAGAAUAUUACUGUUUGGCCAGAUACAGUACACACGGGAAAUACGUGGGGGAAGUUGGUACCUGCAAUAAGACAGAGAAUAUUACCACUGACGAGACCAUGUCUGAUUUGACAGGCUGGUUGAACUCUGGAGAUUUCAAAAUGUUGAAGGUGGCCAGGGCUGACAUCUGGUGGUUGUGCGGGGGAAUGAAUUUGUGGUCGGUAUUACCGACUGAUUGGACUGGGCUAUGCGCUCUAGUACAUUUAGGAAUGCCUUUUACACUCAUACAACACCAAGACGUGAAGUUAGCCAAAACCAGAGAGAUGCUCCAUCUGGAUCUUUUGACGACAGAGUAUAUAUAUUGAUAACAUUGGUGUUCCACGAGGUGCGUAAUUAUAGUUAUGGUAAUCAACAGCGCUUUAGCAGGAAUACCAAAGGUGUUGUUAAAGGUUUUGUAGAACAGACUGACGCAACCAGCUGGAAGACCUGACAGAAUAGAAUUGCAUAGGAUAAAAGGAGGAAGUGGGCGUGGUAAUCAGGACCAUGUCUUACAUCCCGGGUGGCACGGCUCCGGACGAAUCAGUGCCCGAAGCCUCAGCUGGUUUGACCACCCUGGCUCACGGGUUGGCAGAAACUCUGGGGUGGAUACUUCUCUGAACUAAAUUGGGUAGACAGUAUUUAUGGAAAAAUGUGGUGUUUUGGGCUGUAUCAACCUGUAUGACUGUAUUAAUUUUAUGCGGCUGUUGUCUAAUUCCCUGUGUGCGAGGCCUUGUUUCCAGGACUCUGGAAAGAUCAAUGACCCAACGGAUGGUGCGUUAUGGGCCGAUUCCAGAUUCUGACCUGUGUAGGACUGGAGGCAUGUCUACAGAGGAAGUGGACGAAUCCGGAUCUGUCAUUUGUGGGGAAUUUAUGUUUGAUGAGAAUAGUGUUGACAUGAAGGGGAAUUAGAUUGUAAUUUGUUUCAAUGAUUAAACUGUUUUUUUGAUGAAGAUUGUAAAAAGAAAAACAAAAAAGAAUCCUGGAAGGAAGAGUUAUGAUUCUGAUGUA